UUUCCGUAGGUGAACCUGCGGAAGGAUCAUUAUCAAAACAGCGGACUUCGGUCCUUGCUGCACCCUUGUCUUUUGCGUACCGUAUGUUUCCUCGGCGGGCUUGCCUGCCGGUUGGACAUUAUCAAACCUUUUUGUAGUUGCAAUCAGCGUCAGAAAACAAACAAUAAUUACAACUUUCAACAACGGAUCUCUUGGUUCUGGCAUCGAUGAAGAACGCAGC
rnacentral:misc_RNA from 1 species